rnacentral:rRNA from 1 species
UACGGGGGGGGCAAGCGUUGUUCGGAAUUACUGGGCGUAAAGGGCGCGUAGGCGGCCUGCUAAGUCGGAUGUGAAAUCCCUCGGCUCAACCGAGGAACUGCAUCCGAUACUGGCGGGCUGGAAUCCGGGAGAGGGAUGUGGAAUUCCAGGUGUAGCGGUGAAAUGCGUAGAUAUCUGGAGGAACACCGGUGGCGAAGGCGGCAUCCUGGACCGGUAUUGACGCUGAUGCGCGAAAGCUAGGGGAGCAAACGGG